rnacentral:rRNA from 1 species
UACGUAGGUGGCAAGCGUUAUCCGGAUUUACUGGGCGUAAAGCGUAUGCAGUCGGUUUAGCAAGUUUGAUGUUAAAGCCUGGAGCUCAACUCCAGCACGCAUUGAAAACUGCUUAACUAGAGUUACGGAGAGGACAGUGGAAUUCCUAGUGGAUCAGUGGAAUGAUUAGAUAUUAGGAGGAACACCAGUGGCGAAGGCGACUGUCUGGACGAUAACUGACGAUCAGAUACGAAAGCGUGGGGAGCAAACAGG